UUUUCAAAUGAAGCAAUCUGAAAAUAUUUGGAUUAUCCUGAUGCCUUCCUUGUGUGGUUCAUUGGUCUCACUCACUUUUCCAAAACAAAACCCCUUAUGCCAAUCAAUAACGCUGCUACUUGAAACCUCAAUCGUCCUUCAUACUGUGCUUAUCUAAUCAAAGGGCUCCUUGUCUAGAUUUAUUGUAAAAGAUUGUAGAUUGCAGUCUUUAGAGAACUUCACAUACCGAGUUAGGGAUUUUCUGCUCGAAGGACUUCCGCCCAUUUUAGUUAUAUUAGGUACAAUCCUUGGCAUCUAUAAACAAAUUCGUGGUCAUUUGGUUAGAAACAGACCUGUGCACUCUUGGCUUGGGAUUUCUAAUGCUUUCGUUGGUUUAACACUAGCAUUUGAGGACUUCUGACGACGUUCAAGGAACCCAUGGACUGUUGGUGUUGGAUUUCUGGCUCAUUACUUCAUCGAACCACUUUUAGGCUUUGCAAUAACGAUGAUUUGAGCUGUGUAGAGGCAAAUUGUAGAGGAAAAGCUAUUUUCAAAGGCUUAGUUGGCCAUGUUGAGAUCCAGGUAUUGAUCGAUAGUAGCUGUGCGGGUCAUCGCAGUGGAGACUCACUGUAACCUGCUGCUGCGUUCGCAGGUCUCGGAGUCACCUUCAUUUGUAAUUACUUUUAUUUGCUCUAUUGUUUCGGGGCAGAGAUGUCUUAUUUUGUAUAAUUACUCUUAGAUGGGUUUGUGACUUGUACCACCGAUUUUGGGAAAUUUUGGAAUUAUUCAGAAUAAUGUAAUUUAAAGUAGUAAGCAUAGAUGAUUCAAUUUA